rnacentral:tmRNA from 1 species
GGGGACGUUUUGGAUUCGACAGGGAUAGGUCGAGCUUGAGUUGCAUGUCGAGGUUACGACUCGUAAAACGUUAACGCCUAAAUUUAACUGGCAAAGAAAACAAUAAUUUCGCUUUAGCAGCUUAGUCUAGCUAAAGGAUCCUUCCUGCUAUCGCCCGUGUAGUAGAUGAAGGGUCUUAAAUGAAGCGGGCUAUACGUUAACUCGCCGUCUGAGGGUUAACGUUGAAUUGAAUCAGACUAGCCAUUCAUAACGCCUGUUGGUAGGCCGUUGAAUUGGUGAAACAUAAUAUACCAACUAAACAUGUAGAAGCUUAAGUGGCGAUAUCCUUGGACGUGGGUUCAACUCCCACCGUCUCCA